GCGAAGGACACUGCACCCGGCCCGGAUGGCGU
rnacentral:sRNA from 1 species